rnacentral:rRNA from 1 species
AUUGAACGCUGGCGGCAGGCCUAACACAUGCAAGUCGAGCGAGCGGCGGACGGGUGAGUAAUGUCUGGGAACCUGCCUGAUGGAGGGGGAUAACUACUGGAAACGGUAGCUAAUACCCCAUACCAUCAGAUGUGCCCAGAUGGGAUUAGCUAGUAGGUGGGGUAACGGCUCACCUAGGCGACGAUCCCUAGCUGGUCUGAGAGGAUGACCAGCAACACUGGAACUGAGACACGGUCCAGACUCCAACGGGGAGCAGCAGUGGGGAAUAUUGAACAGUGGGAGCAAGCCUGAUGCAGCCAUGCCGCGUGUGUGAAGAAGGCCUUCGGGUUGUAAAGCACUUUCAGCGGGGAGGCGUUACCCGCAGAAGAAGCAACGGCUAACUCCGUGCCAGCAGCCGCGGUAAUAC